rnacentral:misc_RNA from 1 species
GGAAAAUCAAAUAAGAGCUUUGGAGGCGGGCUUUUCUUCGAAAAAAAAUCAUCUCCACAAGUAAAGAAAACAAAGAAUGAGUCGAGGAAGUGGAGGUGGUUACGAUCGCCACAUUACCAUCUUCUCCCCUGAAGGUCGCCUCUUCCAAGUUGAAUAUGCGUUUAAGGCAGUGAAGGCCGCUGCCAUCACUUCGAUCGGAGUUCGAGGGAAGGACUCUGUCUGUGUUGUCACACAGAAGAAGGUCCCGGACAAGCUUUUGGAUCAGACUAGUGUCACUCACCUUUUUCCUAUUACUAAGUACCUUGGAUUGCUGGCUACCGGCAUGAAAGGUCAGCCUCUCUCACUCUUGUGAAAUUGCCUCGAGCAAUUUAUGGAGUUUUUGGUCUUUGUGUCGUGAUGCAAUUAGAGAUCACUGACUAUUGAUUUUGAUACUGUUCAACAAAAGGUUUGUCUGAGAUGUAAACAUUAUAACGAGUCAUUAAUUACUAGCUCAGAAAAGUUAGCAAUCCAAAAUAUGCGUUGACUGGAAUGUGAGAAAGAUUGUGUAGCAAUCUAAUUUUCUAUGCACAGUUAAAAUAUCUGGAUGUGGAAAUGUAACAUGAAUUUCUGAAAUCUUGAACAGACAUAACCUAGGUGCUGAAGUUCUUUAUAUUUCAGUUCUCAUUUCUAGAAACUCUUAUCUUGGUCUCUGUCAGUUUUCUUUUGCAAAUUAUUGAGGCAGCCUCUGGUUUAGAAUUCAGACCUUGCUUUUGGUUGACUUUUGUGACUUACAAACUUGAAACUUGAUUUUCUGUCAUUAUGCCAAUUUUAAGCUGAUGCAAGGACUUUGGUUCAACAAGCACGGAAUGAGGCAGCUGAGUUUCGGUUCAGAUAUGGAUAUGAAAUGCCUGUGGAUGUAUUGGCCAAAUGGUACUGAAUUUCUAUAUCAUGCAUAUACAAUAGUGGAAUGUUAGUGCUAUUUGACCAUGUUCCUAGCCUAACUGCUAAAUAUGUUUUGGGGGACAGGGUGCGUUUUCUAAAUUUGGAUUGUUGAAGGUGCUGUUCAAAAAAGAUCUUUAUGAUGUAGUUUUAGAAAGUCUGCUAUAAGUUAAGCUUUUGUUAAAUGCUUGCUACAAACAUUGUGAACAAGAAAUCUUUGGUGCCUUUUAAACAUUUCCCAUUGUUUGAUAUCUUUGAGAACAUAUUCUCAAUUUGUGGUAUAGCACAGCGCCUCCCUGAUAGAGUUCAUAAUAUUUUCCUCUAUGAAGUGAAUCCUCAAUUAUUUGUCUGCAAUCACAUGGAUGGAUCUUUUUUUUACCUUUAAGUCUACUUCAACUUAUAAUUUUAUAGGACUUAAAAUUUUUAUCCUUGGUGCAUAAAUAGGAUUGCAGAUAAAUCACAAGUUUACACACAGCAUGCUUACAUGAGACCCCUUGGAGUAAUUGCCCUGGUUUUGGGUAUUGAUGAGGAGAAUGGACCUCAACUCUACAAGUGUGAUCCAGCUGGCCACUUUUAUGGUCACAAGGCUACCAGUGCUGGAUUGAAAGAACAAGAGGCUAUCAAUUUUUUGGAAAAGAAAAUGAAAAAUGACCCCGCUUUUUCCUAUGAAGAAACUGUGCAGACUGCUAUUUCUGCUCUGCAAUCUGUUCUUCAAGAGGACUUCAAGGCUACUGAGAUUGAGGUUGGAGUUGUGAGAGCAGACAAUCGAGUUUUUAGAGUGUUGUCAACUGAGGAGAUUGAUGAACAUUUGACUGCUAUUAGUGAACGUGACUGAUUUUAUGGAGUAUCACAGCUACUUGCACAAUGGAGACAAUUCUGCUGGCAUUGGGGGUCAUCAGGAUAUGCUUAGUUUAGAUUAUUUGAAAAGGAGAUAAGAGAGGGAAGGAUUACUGCUAUUAUUUUGAAUUUUAUACCCCUCUCGCUGCUUAAGUUUUGUUAAAUUAUCAAAUGGUGCUGCAUUUCUUUCUUCUGCCUUUUGUCAAGAAUAUCAUGUGCUAAAUGGUUCCAGUUACGGAAAACCCUUUAUUGCCAGCAUAGCAUUUGCAAACUUUUAAGUGUUAGUGCCAAUUUUAUUAUCUUCUAUACCUGUGUAAUGGAAGUUUAUGGUGAUCGUCAUAAUGCAGAAGAAUGAAAUGUUUCUGGCACAAUAGAUAUUUUGCGAGCAGAUAGUGUUCUAUGGUGCUUAAAUGAUAAUAGCAAGUCGCCCCAUGUUCAUACCUAAUGCACAUGCAUAAGGCUUGCUUUUUAACUUUUGCAUCCUACGAAUAUCCAGCCACUUUCAGUGGUAUUUUUCCAAUGAAGUUGGCGUUUAAGCUUCCAAAGUAAAGGUGAUCCUCGAACUCAAAAGCUGAAGUUACAAACGACAUCACUCUUCCAUUGGGAUCAUCAAACAUCCUGGUAAUACUUCCAUCAGCUGCCAAAUUCACCACCUUUGCUUUCCUGUAGGCUCCAUUGACUAGUUUAACCAAUUUGGGAAAUGAUGCCACUAAAUGUUUGGAUGAAAUUGAGGAGUGCAAGAAUUCCAGCUUAUCCGGAACAAACUGCAGCACAAAUAUUGUUUUGGUUUAGUUUCACAAUAAUCUGUUAACCCCAGACAUUUAAGCAUCAGGCUGCAUUUCUUGAGCAUGAUAUUUGCUGGGUAGUAAUUUUUGCAAGCUCAUAUUUUGCAGAGUAUAGGAAUAUAAAUACCUGUAGCAAAGCAAUCCAGAAAGAACCGUCCGAAGCCAGAUUGAUGUUAUCAGGUCCGCCAGGAAGGUUCUCAACAAAAAUUUCUGUUUUACCUUUGUUCUUGCCCUUGAGCCAAUAUUUUUGGCACCUAAAUCUGAUUCAAAAGAAAGAUGCAUGCUAUAUGCUCAAAAAGUUUGUCUUUCCAUGAGCUGCAAGAAAGUGCUGAAUGAAUUUACUUACUUCCAAGUUUCACAGAAGACCAGAAAAUCUUCUUCCCUUGAGAGAGCAACACCAUUGGGGAAGCACAAACCAUCAAGCAGAAUGGAGGUCUCAUUCAAUGAGGGAUCAUACUUGAGCAAUUGCCCAUGAGGCUUGGCCUCGAGAACAUCUAGAAACCAAUCAUGGAGUCCAAAUUUGGUGCUUGCAACACUAAAAUAGAGGUUACCAUCUGAAUCUUCAAUCACCUCAUCCGCAAACCUUAUCGGGGACCCAUUAAUGUGUGAUGCAAGAACUGUAACUCCAUCUUCAGUAACCUUAAGCAAACCCAUUUCAGCAUCACAAACGACGAGACCACCUUCCUUGGAGAUUGUGAUACCAAGUAAGGCAUCGCUGUCUAUCCUCUUCCAAUUCUCCCAGGAUCCAUUCUUAUGCAAUCUUUUGAUCCAACCAUCUCUGACUGCCGUAUACAGUAGACCCUCUCUGUCUACACAAACAUCUUCUGGACCUUGUAAAAGUCCUUCUCCAAGUUUAAUCACUUCCUGUAGUCGCUUGUUUGUGGGAAGAGAAGAAGUUGGAGGCAAUUGAAGCAAGUCGGGAGAUAUCGGUGAGAAGAAGAAGAUUUGAAAUAGAAAAGCAAGGAGAAAAGCUAGCACAAAUCCUGAACAUGCCGGUACACAGCGCUGCAUGGUCCAGAGAAGGCAGCAAUAAUUGGUGAGUUUGAAGGGGUAAUGAGGGGUGGAAAACUCUCGAUGUUGAUGGUAUCUAAUCUAUAUAUACACAAACAAAAAGCAGGCAGAACCUUCUCCAAUGGCUACACGUGACGGCUAUAUAUAGAGAUAAUAAAUUUGAAAUCCUCAUGUAUAAUCCACACUAAUUGAUUGCUUGAUUGAUUAAUUAAAGUUAAUAAAAAAUAUCAUAAAUUUAAAAAAGUAAAUUAAGCACUAAUUUCUCAAUGAAAAUUAAAAGUGGAAUGUUAACUUGAUUAAAAAAUUAGUAUGGUAAUAAAAUUCCCCAAAAAAUUACAUGCCCAAUUCAAUAAGGUAAUAAAAUAAUUUAUAUUUUAAAUUUAUGAAAAAAAUAAUAUUUUUCAUGCUAAAAUUUA